AAUUGGUCAAAGUGUUGAUAACAAAGAAAUCUUGAAAGAGUUCAGAGGUAAAAACUUGGAGAGCCUAAAGAAAUAAAGAUGCACCUAGAGUAGGUAUGUCAAGAUUGCUCAAUACUGUCCUUAUGAUUUUUCUCUUCUCUCAGUUGAGUUAUGGACUAGUGUAGAGUCGAUGGGAAGAUAGAGGGUAGAGAAAGUAACCCUUG
rnacentral:lncRNA from 1 species